rnacentral:rRNA from 1 species
AGAUACAAACCAAGUGUAAUCAAAGAGGAUAUGAAUUCAGUACGACCAUGAGUGAAGGAACGCUACUCCAAUUUGGAUCUUGGAGAAUGUUUUCUCAGUGUGGUUCAGGUUAAAUUGUUGUCCUACUGUUCCUGCUCAGCCUCCUAAUGUUCUAUGUCUUCGCUGCGCCUUCUUCCAGCUUCUCUAUUGGUUUUCUCUUCACACCGAUGAAAGUGCAUGUUCCUCCCUUCCUCCAAAUCUUCUCCGGCCAUGGUUGUUUGCAUCUGGUCACAGUUGUUUCAUGUUUCACUUUUGUUGGUGGUUCACGCGUCGGCCUUAGUGCUCUAAGCAAACCAACAUUUCUCAUCUUGGCGAUUGUAUUAUUGGGGCUUUUCUACAUCUAUAGGUUUGAAUCUCAUGUGGCUCCUGCGCCCAACCACCAUCUCCUCCCUAGCUAAGCAAGAGGUUCAAAGGACACCGCUACAUCUUCCUUGCCGCCCAGCAGGAGGGGCACUAGGUGUGCCUCAUGUUUAGUUAAUGCCCACUGAUUGUGAUGUUCAUUCUAUGGGGAAUUUUGUUUACUUUUUAUAUUUUGUGCAUUUUCUAUUUCAUGUAUUGGUCAGUGGUCCUAAAUCCCAUGUGAUUUCUUCAUUCUUCAGGAAAAGUACAUAUCAGGAGAGCCAUUUAUUAGAGGAUCUUCUUGAUGGUUUUUUACAUUUGGUUCCUGAUGUUCUGCUUCUUGGGGUUUGCUCAUUUCCUUUCUAGCUAGAAAUACCAUAUUUUCCUCUUUGCGUGUACUGACUUGGUGUUUGGUUCGCUGCUUGUCUUAAUAUUCUGGAUUUAGCUGGGCAUCAUGUUUUGUUCAGCCUCAUGCUCCUAAGUGUAUCUCACACUGUAUAGGAAUCUGUCAUGCGGGGACCUUGCCUUUUAUGCUUCUUCUUGAUAAUAGAAGUAUUGAAUAUACCUGUUUCUUCUGCUCAAACAUUUUGGCUAAGUGGCGAUAUUCCAAAUAAAUGGAUGUAUCUUGAACAAAGGAGAUGUCUGAUGGUUUCUUAAUUUCGUUGACUAACUAGGGAGUUCAAGGAUGAUGACUAAAGUUUUGUCAUUACUGGCUAAUACUUGGCGACGAUGUGUCCAUCAGAAAUGAUCCGAUUAUCCUCUGUUGUAUUAUAUUUUCUACUUUUUUUGUAAAUAUGUAUGGAUGUACAUGCACACUCUUUCGAUGUCUGAAAAUGACCGUCAUCCCUCAGUGGGCAAAGAUGAUUUUGUUGAACAGUUUCAGUAUCUGUUACAUAGCGUAUUCUUUCCAAUGUAGAAGGUAGCAGCCGACUCUGCAUUGCUGUGGUGCUUAUAUUAUGGAGUAGUUAAGUUAUUCUCCCUCUGUAAAGAAAUAUAAGAGCGAAACACUCUUAUAUUUCUUUACAGAGGGAGUAUUCCACAAUAUUUAGGAUGUCAACUUUCAGCCAAUUGGUUAGUGGAUGUAAGAGCAUCUCUAGCCGAUCCUUAAAAAUCUUUAGCGGAUAGUCUAGUCGUAUACAAGCUGACUGCUCCUCAGGAAGGCUUGCUAUAGGUUACCAAACACUAGCAGGCGAGGUAUGCACUUGAACUUAUUUGCUCUGAAUUAUGCUAUCUAUUUGAUCUGCUAGCUAUUUUAUUGCUUCAUUUCUCCCUGAUCGCAUUUUUGUAUACAUGCACGCACUCUCAUUUCAAAAAUCAGUGACGGUCUCCUUCCAGCUGCACUGCUACUGCAAUUGAACAGCGAUUUAUACUUAGACCGCUUGCUUGCGCUUGAUGUGUCUGUUUUCUAUUCUAGCAAAUCGUCAUGCCCUAGGCACAGUGCCAAACACGUCUUGUUUGUGGCUGACCCCAAAAGGACUUCUGCACUAGAAGAACAUGUCCUCAAGGCCGUGACAAAGCAGCAGAGGUUAUAUAAUUUACAUAUCUGGAACUGCUUUAGACCAUUGGUGUUAUCAGUACGACGAAUUUCGGUCCUAUAACUGAACUAUUCCUUUUCCCGUUGUAUUUAUAAGUGACAUGUGUGUGGUUUUUUGCAGUACAUAGUAUAUGUAUGCAUUUCUUCAGUGGGGAGAUUAGUGCAUGAUGUCAUAUACACAAUUCAGAAAAUUUGUUUGAUAAUACUUAAGUGUAGGUUAGUCUAUUCUUUCAAGGAGAAAAGAGUAGGUCAAAUUAAUGAAAGACUGAGGUUGUUUGACGGCCGGACCAAGAAGAGCAAGGAGCCAACAAUGGUCAAUUUCUUGCAUCCCAUCCUGGACUCUAAAAGAUUUCAGUUUGCUAUAGGCUAUAGUUUGACUUUUUGCUUCUUGAAGUGAAUGGUAAAGCACCAUGUUGGUUACAUUAGAUUUGUUUGUCAGGCUUGUCUAAAGUCAAUAAUUUCUUGAUCCAUUUUCAAUUUAAGUAAACCAUCCAUAUAAUCAUGAUUUGUUUACCCUAUUCGGUGUUUCUGUUGUGCUUUGUUUUUGUUUGAAGGUUUGGGCUGGAUUGGAUAUCCAAAUGUUUGUGAAUUAUACUUGAUUAAUUGCUUGCUAAAACAAAGAAAGCAUCCAGCAGCACCUCAACCAGGUGUCACAAGAGAACUGAACUAAAUUUCUCAGCUACACAUGUAGUCUUAACAUUGCUAGCUGUUGUCCCUAGAAAUCAUUUAUAGCUGUUGUAUAAGGAUAUUGUAGUUUAUCUUAGUAGGGAAUAGUGUGAUGUUUUCUCUAUUUAAAUUCUAACAUUUUAAACCUCAAACAGAUGGGUUCGUUUGGGAAGGAUCUUGAGCUGUUAGACUCAGCUAGAAUUUUGCCAAUGAGAAUUAGAGACCAGACAACUGCACUUAAGCUUGCUAAGCUACCCAUUUAUUCCUUCUAUUCGUUGAUUAUAGGAACAACACAUGCAUUCAUCAUACAAACCUGCAGCUUAUGUGCGAUAAGAUGGACUCGACAUAAAGAAGUUUCUCUUCGUCUGCUCUGAUUUUUGAGCCAAGACCCUUGGGAGUUUGUCUAGCCUCAUUAUCAAAAGUGUGCAUCAGUUAGUUAUGACCUCAUCUCUUCAGUGAGAUGUUUUCCUCCAUGAAGGAUAUCCCUGACGAUCACAGGGAAUGCUCCAAACAAAAGAAAAUAAUUGUAUCAGCCUGCGAAGCGUAAAUGCUGGACUAUUGUUUCUCCCCUGAUGCACAUGUUUCGCCACAGACAAUAUAGUGUGUGUGUGUGUGUGUGUGUGUGAUCUCUGAAAUUAGUUUUUAGGUUAUUCUAUGUGUUGAGUACUUCUGUAAUUUCCACGGGCGUGUUUCAUAUUUUCUGUGUAUUGUCUAUCAUUCUUUUAAUCGUUAAUAUUUCUUGUAGUUUUUCAUAUUUAGUUUCAGCCGCGUUUCAUUUCUCGCAGACCUACACCUAUUAGGAAAAGCAUAGUUUCAUUUUGAUCAUGUUUCUUUUAGUUAUUCAGUGUUUGUUCAUUAAUGUAGCAGAGUAAGCAGUACAUUUUGUCCAUUAGUUAAAUCACUCAUGUCACAUUCAGUUGAUUAGGUUCAGUUUUUGUUCCUUUCUUCUUCGUUCCUUCAGUUUUUUGUUCCUUUAUUUAGUCAUUGUGCUUGCACCAUUUGCCGGUAUUUGAUUCAAUAUAACCAUUUAGUCCAUCUCAAUAGACCCUUAUGGUUCUUGAUAGUUUCUCUCUUUCAUAGAUCAGACUUUUCCGCUUUUUCAGUUAGGCUAAUUUAUGCUUUCAAUUUCAGUUUUUAGUCUUCGCUUGAUUUAGUUGGACAGUGUGUUCAGUAUUUCAAUAGUUCAGUUGUUUCAUUGAUUGAUAUGUGCAUUUUCGUACUUAGUGAAGCAUCUUAAUGCAUUUUCAUACUUUGUGAAGCAUCUUAAUUUGAUUGAUAUGUGCAUUCAGUUGAGAACUCACAAGUAGAACAACUGUGCUUCACUUCAUCAGAUGGUAAUUUUUAUCGGUUAUAGACUUAUAGUUACAAUUACUAGAAGUAGCAAAGGUCUGCGUUUGUUUAGACCUUGAGUUGGUAGCUAUGCCUUUUUUGUUUCAGAUCAUAUGUUGGUACUUCAUUUUACUCAGAUCAUAUGAAGGUGAGUGUAAUUGUGUAAUCUGGAUUAGACGCAAUGAAAUUCAGAAGUAGUAGAAGUAUACUAUUUUUUACUUUCUGAUUACUAUAGAAGUACACCGCUGCAUGGUACUCCCUCUGUUCCUAAAUAUAAGUCUUUG